rnacentral:rRNA from 1 species
AGACGAACCGGGCGAACGUUAUUCGGAAUCACUGGGCUUAAAGCGUGCGUAGGCGGCUUGGCAAGUUGGGUGUGAAAGCCCUCGGCUCAACCGAGGAACUGCGCCCAAAACUGCCAGGCUUGAGGGAGAUAGAGGUGAGUGGAACUAAUGGUGGAGCGGUGAAAUGCUUUGAUAUCAUUAGGAACCCCGGUGGCGAAAGCGGCUCACUGGGUCUCUUCUGACGCUGAGGCACGAAAGCUAGGGGAGCGAACGGGAUUAGAAACCCCAGUAGUCC